ensembl:lncRNA
GUGAGGUGAAGGGCAGCUCGAGCAGGGCCUGCUGACGGUGCAGAGAAUGAUCGAGAAGCCGCCCUCCUGAGCGCGGAGGCCUGGAGCUUCCUUCUGCGUGGCAGGAGGGCGCUGGCCUGUGGUCCCUCUCAGUGGGGGCGGGAGGAACUGAUCUCUCAGCAUGAAAUGGUCGCCUGGCCUCUGGGAAGGCUCCCAGCAGUCGACGCCCAGGCCAGGCCUGGCCGGCUGCUCCUCCAGCUGCUGCUCCCAGCCGGAGCCAUUUUCCGACCCCAAAGACUUGUCAGCAGGACUAGAAAUGCAGGAGACGGCUUAGAAUGCAGUGAAACCAACAUUAGAAUGCAGGGAACCAACCCGGCUUGGACCCUCAAAUGUAACCCCGAAUAUCAGCAGCAGACCCCCCCACCCCUGGGGGAAAAGUCUCCAAUCAGAGAUCCUCUGAGGCGAGCCAAGAGCGGUUUUGGAGGGAGCAGCGCAUAUUUUGAGGGAAGAAGCCCCAUGAGAGCCUCCCUGCAAGAAGCCAGAACAUUAUCACCAACCCCUCUCCUCUGUCCCCUCAAAGGCCUCUCCUGACCACAGUGUUAGUCCUCUGAGUUGGCUGGUAGAACAAUUAGCUUUCCUCAGGGCAUGGGCGGAUCACCAAGUCAGGCCUCCAAGCAGGGGUUUCCUGUCACCAAAGCCACACUAAUGCAAAUCCAUUUUUUAUUAGGCGAAAAUAAAACUCACAAGUGAC